rnacentral:rRNA from 1 species
GACGAACGCUGGCGGCGUGCUUAACACAUGCAAGUCGAACGAUGAUGCUGGAGCUUGCUCCAGUUGAUUAGUGGCGAACGGGUGAGUAACACGUGAGCAAUCUGCCCUUGACUCUGGGAUAACUGCGGGAAACUGUAGCUAAUACCGGAUACUUUCACCGGAAGGCAUCUUCUGGUGAUGAAAGAAUUUCGGUCAGGGAUGAGCUCGCGGCCUAUCAGCUUGUUGGUGAGGUAACGGCUCACCAAGGCGACGGCGGGUAACCGGCCGGAGAGGGUGACCGGUAACACUGGGACUGAGACACGGCCCAGACUCCUACGGGAGGCAGCAGUGGGGAAUAUUGCACAAUGGGCGCAAGCCUGAUGCAGCAACGCCGCGUGAGGGAUGAAGGCCUUCGGGUUGUAAACCUCUUUUAGCAGGGAAGAAGCGAAAGUGACGGUACCUGCAGAAAAAGCACCGGCUAACUACGUGCCAGCCGCCGCGGUAA